GUCUGGACAAACCAACAUGCCUGGUUUAAUUAGUCUGUAGGAAGUCCAGAUAUCGGUAUUUCUUAAAAGCCUUCCAGAGUUCCGACAGAGAUCACGGUGAGACUCUGAGCUCCGCGGCUAGCUCCCCUGGGGCCCUCCAAACCCUGGGCCAACGGGUGAGUUGGGGGAGCCCCAGGACAGACUGGGGCCUCCGCCCUGCAGAUAUCCCAGAGCCCUUGCUAUGGCUCCCACCGGCCACACCCAGGCCUUGAAGGAGCAUCGACCAUAUUCCUCAACCCACCUCGGUGACCUGAUGGUGGCGGCAGCCUCUCCCAGCCGACCCCGCCGACCGCUGGAUCUCCAGAGGACACCCCUGCCAAGCCACCCGGAUGCAGAGCCUUUGAGUGGCAGCUGCCGUGGCCGGCCGGAAGCAUGGCGGCGGCAGGGAGGCCCCUAGGGUGUGGCAGGGCGGGUCUACGGAGGCCUCUUUAGGCCACAGAGCAACGUAAAGCCUAGGCCUGCAGAGACUGCUCAGUCACAGUUGAAGGAGACCUACUGAGUCCUGAGGACAACCAACAAAGGCCUUAACGGCACAGAAGCAUCUACAUGGUAUUCAUAAGGAUGCAGCACUAAUUGUUUAACCAGAUCCCUUCUGGUGGAAAUUUGUUUCCAGUCUUUUGCUGUUACAAAUAACGCUGUAAUACACCUCUAUGGAUAUGCUAAUUUUUAUGAGGCAGAAAAUCCUCUCACCUCUGAAGAGUUACAGGCCCCAAAGACCAUCUUUGUAAUAUUGUAUAAAGACACAGGGAAAGGAGAUGGGAAGCCUGCAUUCCAGUCAUGGAAUGCUCAACCACUAACAUCCUUUGCAUGCAGAGACGCAUCACCUCAUCUGCCCGAGUGACUCGAUUUUCUUGUUUAUCAGGCAGCAUCACUGUACCUGCUUUAAAUGGCCUCACAAGGGCAUUGUGAGAAUCAAAUGAGAUAAUGUACAUGAAAGCCUGUGCGCGCUGUACUAAUACACAAGUCUCUCAUCUGGUUGUGAAAUCUAGAAUUGAUACGUUGCUCUGUGAAUGUGCCCAUCAAUCUUCAACAUGGUGCUUGCUACUCCCACUGUCCCUUCUAAGGGAAACUGACCCAUCUGCAGCUCCUGCUGACAGACAAUCCGAGGCUGCUGUGCACUGUGCCG
rnacentral:lncRNA from 1 species